rnacentral:rRNA from 1 species
AUUGAACGCUGGCGGCAGGCCUAACACAUGCAAGCCGAGCGGAUGAAGGGAGCUUGCUCCUGGAUUCAGCGGCGGACGGGUGAGUAAUGCCUAGGAAUCUGCCUGGUAGUGGGGGAUAACGUCCGGAAACGGGCGCUAAUACCGCAUACGACCUGAGGGAGAAAGUGGGGGAUCUUCGGACCUCACGCUAUCAGAUGAGCCUAGGUCGGAUUAGCUAGUUGGUGGGGUAAAGGCCUACCAAGGCGACGAUCCGUAACUGGUCUGAGAGGAUGAUCAGUCACACUGGAACUGAGACACGGUCCAGACUCCUACGGGAGGCAGCAGUGGGGAAUAUUGGACAAUGGGCGAAAGCCUGAUCCAGCCAUGCCGCGUGUGCGAAGAAGGUCUUCGGAUUGUAAAGCACUUUAAGUUGGGAGGAAGGGCAGUAAGUUAAUACCUUGCUGUUUUGACGUUACCAACAGAAUAAGCACCGGCUAACUUCGUG